rnacentral:tRNA from 1 species
UUUGGUAAACUAAUUUUUUAGAUUAAUGUUUCGGCCGUUAAUUUGUUGUUUAUAUCUUCUACCAAAU